AUGUGCUUAUGCUUCCUGGAAAGAAGUUUAGCUGCAGGUGGCUGAACAGGCUGUAAACCCAGUGCACUGAAGGAUUUUUCUUUUUCUCUGUAAGUGAUGCUAGCAAAGAAUCUGGAUGUGUCUCAAGGGCUGGUGAACGGGGCAUGAGGCGUUGUUGUAGGAUUUGAAAGUGAACAGAAGGGGCUGCCUAAGGUGAGGUUUCUCUGUGGGGUCACACAGGUCAUAAGAAUGGAGAAAUGGGUCUUCAAAGGACCAUCAGGAGUGCACCUGAGUCGUCAACAGCUGCCUUUAAAAUUGGCAUGGGCCAUUUCCAUUCACAAGAGUCAGGAUUCACUACACACCUAUUCAGAUGCUGAUGAGAAGGAGAAUGUGAAAUGCAGCUGAUAAUACUCUCCUGGUUUCUGUGAAGUGUCAGCACAGACUCCUGAGAUGCAGUGAUCUUGCUAUUGAGUAUAUUUGAUAACAUAGGUAAAGUCAAAGGACUUUUUUUAGCUGUUUGCUUCAUUCAGCUGACUCUGGAUAUAUAGAAGUAUCUCUAUCUCGUGCCUCUGGAAUUUGGAAGGCUUCUGUAGCCCCUUUCUGAGCCCACAGACCUAAGUAAGCACUUCUCUGUCACAGAUGCAACUUCAGCAAACAAAAUGACUGAACAAGGAUGUUCCUGAGGGUCCUUCCUGUGAUUCUAUCCUGCCUGCCUAGUUGCAUUUAAUCCUCCACAUAUAUAGACUGAAACUUGUGUCCCUUUCUUCAAGUAUACCACUGUUGUGAGAUGGAAGGUGUCUAGAUGGAUUGGACCUGUUCACAGGAGCUGCUGACACAAGGGAAAGCAGGGCUAAGUAUCUGGAAUACAUACUUGAUUCUUCUGCAAGCAAGGAGCUGGGCUAUUACUUUACAGCAUGCUGAGGUGUUCCAGAUGCUUGACACCAGGAGGCUUUGCAAAACUUCCUCCACAAGCAGAACUGCCAGUUACAUAUUGCUUGUUAUGCUGAUAUGUAGCAUUUUUAUUAGUCUGUUGCAUAAGAUGUGAUUUUUAUUUUUUUAACCCUCUGAGAUGAACUGGCACUGUUUAAAGACAGGAGGAAUUCCUACAUCUUAUACCUGUAAUUAUGGAACUACAAGAAUUGUGAAGUUCUGUUACUCCAUUAGGGAGAAGAUGGGUACU